rnacentral:rRNA from 1 species
AUGAAGGACCUUGGUGUGGCUGAUGUUAUCUUGAACAUCAAGCUACUGAGAGAUAAUGAGGGUGGGAUCACACUUCUGCAAUCCCAUUAUGUUGAGAAGGUGUUGAGCCGUUUUGGAUAUUCGGACUGCAAACCAUCUCAAACACCAUAUGAUCCUAGUGUGUUGGUUCGAAAGUUCGAAGGCACAGCUAAGGAUCAACUGAGAUACUCUCAAAUCAUUGGUUCGCUCAUGUACCUAGCAAGCGCAAUGAGGCCUGACAUCGCGUUUGCUGUGAGCAAACUAAGCCGGUUUGUUUCCAAUCCGGGUGAUGUACAUUGGCAUGCUAUUGAGAGAGUUAUGCGCUAUCUGAAAGGUACUAUAAACUACGGACUUCACUAUACCGGAUACCCGUCGGUACUUGAAGGGUAUAGUGAUGCGAAUUGGAUCUCUGAUGCUGAUGAGAUGACUGGGUAUAUGUUUACUCUUGGAGGUGGCGCUGUUUCCUGGAAGUCUUGCAAGCAAACGAUCUUAACGAGAUCGACAAUGGAAGCAGAAUUAACAGCAUUAGACACAUCUGGUGUCGAAGCAGGAUGGCUUCGUGAUCUUUUGAUGGACUUGCCAUUGGUUGAUAAACCGGUUCCGGCUAUCCUUAUGAACUGUGACAAUCAGACUGUCAUCACCAAGGUGAAGAGUUCAAAGGACAACAUGAAGUCCAACAAACACAUAAGAAUGAGAUUAAAAGCUGUCAGAAAAUUAAGAAACUCCGGAGUGAUAGCGUUGGAGUAUGUCCAUAUGGCUAAGAAUCUGGCAGAUCCCUUUACAAAAGGGCUAUCGCGUGUUGUGAUAGAUAGUGCAUCGAGGGAGAUGGGUAUGAGACCCACAUGA